rnacentral:rRNA from 1 species
GACGAACGCUGGCGGUGUGCUUAACACAUGCAAGUGGUGCGACGAACCAGAGCUUGCUCUGGGGCAAAGCCGCGAACGGGUGAGUAACACGUGGGUAAUCUACCCCGAUGACCGGGACAACCCGAGGAAACUCGGGCUAAUACCGGAUGUGGUACGGAGACAUAAGUCUCUUUACUAAAGGUAGCUUCGGCUUCCGCAUUGGGAGGGGCCCGCGGCCCAUUAGCUAGUUGGUGGGGUCAAGGCCUACCAAGGCAACGAUGGGUAGCUGGUCUGAGAGGACGAUCGGCCACACUGGGACUGAGACACGGCCCAGACUCCUACGGAGGCAGCAGUGGGGAAUCUUGCGCAAUGCGCGAAAGCGUGACGCAGCAACACCGCGUGAGGGAAGACGGCCUUAGGGUUGUAAACCUCUUUCAGAUGGGACGAAGGUGAUGCGGUGAAUAGCCGAUGUCAUUGACGGUACCGUCAGAAGAAGCUCGGCUAACUACGUGCCAGCAGCC